GCUUUAAUCGUCUAAUGUUUAGGACAUUUUCUUUUCAAGAAAAAAAUAGGAAUUAAAAUUUCCUUUAAAGUG
rnacentral:tRNA from 1 species